rnacentral:lncRNA from 1 species
ACGAUAGAAUCUCAAGAGCAGAGCCUACCAGGAAGUAGAGUGAAGCCUACAACUUCCUCAGCCAUGAGGACCCAACAAUCCACUGGGGAGUGCUGGUUUGCCACAAAACUCCAUCGUAACUGAAAGAGGAAAUCUUCUACAAAUUCCAGAGACCUUCUUGGAGGAUGAGAAGCAGCCACUAGUUGACAGGAGGGGAAGUGAGGCAUGUAGUCUUCAAGGGAGCAGACCACCGUGGGAGUUAUAAAAUAUCAGCGACGCCUCUGGGUGGGUUCGAACCGCCAACCUUUUAGUUAACAGCCAAACGCGCUAGCCGAUUGCGCCACAGAGACAUGGCUGAGCUCCUGAUUUCGUUCUAAAAGAGGGUAAGCUGUCACUAAACGCUAGCUAGCACCAUCCGCCUUUUGCAAAAUGAUUGGGUAAUCUCCAAAGCCUGACCAACAUGGUGAAAACCUGCCUCCACUAAAAACACAAAAUUAGCUGGGGGUGGUGGUGCAUGCCUGUAAUCCCAGCUACUUAGGAGGCUGAGGCAGGAGAAUUGCUUGAACCUGAGAGGCGGAGGUUGCAAUGAGCUGAGAUCGCACCCUUGCACUCCAGCCUGGGCAACAACAGCAAAAACUCCACCUCAAAAAAAAAAAAAAAAGAAAAGAAAAGAAAAUGAGCUAAGGAGCUAGGCUUCCUUAUUUCACAACCUUGGCUCUGUCUCCUAUGAAACCAGGGCAACUAUUUAACCCCUCCAUGUCUGAGUUUCCUCAUGUAUAAAUGAAGGGAGCAAUAGUACCUAGCUUAUAAGGCCAUUAUAAGGAUUUUAAAAGUUAAUCUAAAGUGCUUAGGACAGUGUAUGGCAUAGAGCAAGCACUCAGUAAAUCCAUUCAUUCAAUAAAUGUUUAUUGAAUAUAGGUGUGGCUGCUGUUUUGGCUGAUGAGUAUACUAAAGUCAGUGAAACAGACGAAAUCUGUGGAGCUUUCUUCCUUGGGGGAGGAGGCCAACAACAACAACGAAUACACACAGAGGAAGAGCAAUGGAAUGAAUUGUGUUCCCUCCCCUCCCAAAUUCAUAUGUUGAAGCCCUAACUGCCAACGUGAUGGUAUCUGGAGAUGGGGCAUUUGGGAAAUAAUUAGAUUUAGAAGAGAUCAUGAAGGUGGGAGACUCGUGAUGGGAUUAGUGCCCUUUUAAGAAGAGAAAGAGUCAGGUGCAGUGGCUCUUGCCUGUAAUCUCAGCACUUU